rnacentral:lncRNA from 1 species
AAAUAAUCAUGUGAUUAAUAACUCAUACUAGUACGCAAGUUGGAGUCACCUAUGGUGACCUGUACGACUUACCCAUAUCUCAUCACAUAUACUAGUUCAUCACAUAUUUCAUCACAUAUGCUAGCUCACAUAUCUCAUCAUAUAUGCUAGCUUAUCACAUAUGCUAGCUCAUCACAUAUUCAUCACAUAUGCUAGCUUAUAACAUAUUCAUCAAACAUGCUAGCUUAUCACAUAUUCAUCACAUAUGCUAGCUUAUCCCAUAUUUCAUCAUAUAAGCUAGUUCAUCACAUAUUCAUCAUAUAUGCUAGCUUAUCACAUAUCUCAUCACAUAUGUUAAUGACCUGUACGACUUAUCCAUAGCUCAAUAAGUAUACCUGCACACGAGUCGGAACCACCUAAAGUGGUAUGUAUGACAGGACUAGGUGUAAAUAAAUACGCUCAAGUGCUACGAUCAUGUGAAGAUUGUGCGAAUAAUCGUAGGUCACCUACGAGUCGGAACCAGCUAUAGUGGUCUGUAUGACAGAACUAUGCACCUACCUUAGUUCCAAGGUGAGCGUAAGGUGCGGGAGGUGAACAUCACGUGAAGGACUAUGCCCUGGCCACGGGCGGGAGCACUAACACCGGGGUGCAGGUUUAUAAGCUCUCAAUGCAUGUCACAUGUAUGAUUCAUGAGCGACCCGUACGAUAGUGUCGGGGUUGCUUAAGACAUAAUAUAGUCAUGCCAUAACCCCAUCAUGUCAACUAAUACCAUAAACUCA